rnacentral:rRNA from 1 species
UUAAGCGACUAAGCGUACACGGUGGAUGCCCUGGCAGUCAGAGGCGAUGAAGGACGUGCUAAUCUGCGAUAAGCGUCGGUAAGGUGAUAUGAACCGUUAUAACCGGCGAUUUCCGAAUGGGGAAACCCAGUGUGUUUCGACACACUAUCAUUAACUGAAUCCAUAGGUUAAUGAGGCGAACCGGGGGAACUGAAACAUCUAAGUACCCCGAGGAAAAGAAAUCAACCGAGAUUCCCCCAGUAGCGGCGAGCGAAAGGGGAGCAGCCCAGAGCCUGAAUCAGUGUGUGUGUUAGUGGAAGCGUCUGGAAAGGCGCGCGAUACAGGGUGACAGCCCCGUACACAAAAAUGCACAUGCUGUGAGCUCGAUGAGUAGGGCGGGACACGUGGUAUCCUGUCUGAAUAUGGGGGGACCAUCCUCCAAGGCUAAAUACUCCUGACUGACCGAUAGUGAACCAGUACCGUGAGGGAAAGGCGAAAAGAACCCCGGCGAGGGGAGUGAAAAAGAACCUGAAACCGUGUACGUACAAGCAGUGGGAGCACGCUUAGGCGUGUGACUGCGUACCUUUUGUAUAAUGGGUCAGCGACUUAUAUUCUGUAGCAAGGUUAACCGAAUAGGGGAGCCGAAGGGAAACCGAGUCUUAACUGGGCGUUAAGUUGCAGGGUAUAGACCCGAAACCCGGUGAUCUAGCCAUGGGCAGGUUGAAGGUUGGGUAACACUAACUGGAGGACCGAACCGACUAAUGUUGAAAAAUUAGCGGAUGACUUGUGGCUGGGGGUGAAAGGCCAAUCAAACCGGGAGAUAGCUGGUUCUCCCCGAAAGCUAUUUAGGUAGCGCCUCGUGAACUCAUCUCCGGGGGUAGAGCACUGUUUCGGCAAGGGGGUCAUCCCGACUUACCAACCCGAUGCAAACUGCGAAUACCGGAGAAUGUUAUCACGGGAGACACACGGCGGGUGCUAACGUCCGUCGUGAAGAGGGAAACAACCCAGACCGCCAGCUAAGGUCCCAAAGUCAUGGUUAAGUGGGAAACGAUGUGGGAAGGCCCAGACAGCCAGGAUGUUGGCUUAGAAGCAGCCAUCAUUUAAAGAAAGCGUAAUAGCUCACUGGUCGAGUCGGCCUGCGCGGAAGAUGUAACGGGGCUAAACCAUGCACCGAAGCUGCGGCAGCGACACUAUGUGUUGUUGGGUAGGGGAGCGUUCUGUAAGCCUGUGAAGGUGUGCUGUGAGGCAUGCUGGAGGUAUCAGAAGUGCGAAUGCUGACAUAAGUAACGAUAAAGCGGGUGAAAAGCCCGCUCGCCGGAAGACCAAGGGUUCCUGUCCAACGUUAAUCGGGGCAGGGUGAGUCGACCCCUAAGGCGAGGCCGAAAGGCGUAGUCGAUGGGAAACAGGUUAAUAUUCCUGUACUUGGUGUUACUGCGAAGGGGGGACGGAGAAGGCUAUGUUGGCCGGGCGACGGUUGUCCCGGUUUAAGCGUGUAGGCUGGUUUUCCAGGCAAAUCCGGAAAAUCAAGGCUGAGGCGUGAUGACGAGGCACUACGGUGCUGAAGCAACAAAUGCCCUGCUUCCAGGAAAAGCCUCUAAGCAUCAGGUAACAUCAAAUCGUACCCCAAACCGACACAGGUGGUCAGGUAGAGAAUACCAAGGCGCUUGAGAGAACUCGGGUGAAGGAACUAGGCAAAAUGGUGCCGUAACUUCGGGAGAAGGCACGCUGAUAUGUAGGUGAGGUCCCUCGCGGAUGGAGCUGAAAUCAGUCGAAGAUACCAGCUGGCUGCAACUGUUUAUUAAAAACACAGCACUGUGCAAACACGAAAGUGGACGUAUACGGUGUGACGCCUGCCCGGUGCCGGAAGGUUAAUUGAUGGGGUUAGCGCAAGCGAAGCUCUUGAUCGAAGCCCCGGUAAACGGCGGCCGUAACUAUAACGGUCCUAAGGUAGCGAAAUUCCUUGUCGGGUAAGUUCCGACCUGCACGAAUGGCGUAAUGAUGGCCAGGCUGUCUCCACCCGAGACUCAGUGAAAUUGAACUCGCUGUGAAGAUGCAGUGUACCCGCGGCGAGACGGAAAGACCCCGUGAACCUUUACUAUAGCUUGACACUGAACAUUGAGCCUUGAUGUGUAGGAUAGGUGGGAGGCUUAGAAGUGUGGACGCCAGUCUGCAUGGAGCCGACCUUGAAAUACCACCCUUUAAUGUUUGAUGUUCUAACGUUGACCCGUAAUCCGGGUUGCGGACAGUGUCUGGUGGGUAGUUUGACUGGGGCGGUCUCCUCCUAAAGAGUAACGGAGGAGCACGAAGGUUGGCUAAUCCUGGUCGGACAUCAGGAGGKUAGUGCAAUGGCAUAAGCCAGCUUGACUGCGAGCGUGACGGCGCGAGCAGGUGCGAAAGCAGGUCAUAGUGAUCCGGUGGUUCUGAAUGGAAGGGCCAUCGCUCAACGGAUAAAAGGUACUCCGGGGAUAACAGGCUGAUACCGCCCAAGAGUUCAUAUCGACGGCGGUGUUUGGCACCUCGAUGUCGGCUCAUCACAUCCUGGGGCUGAAGUAGGUCCCAAGGGUAUGGCUGUUCGCCAUUUAAAGUGGUACGCGAGCUGGGUUUAGAACGUCGUGAGACAGUUCGGUCCCUAUCUGCCGUGGGCGCCGGAGAACUGAGGGGGGCUGCUCCUAGUACGAGAGGACCGGAGUGGACGCAUCACUGGUGUUCGGGUUGUCAUGCCAAUGGCACUGCCCGGUAGCUAAAUGCGGAAGAGAUAAGUGCUGAAAGCAUCUAAGCACGAAACUUGCCCCGAGAUGAGUUCUCCCUGACCCUUUAAGGGUCCUGAAGGAACGUUGAAGACGACGACGUUGAUAGGCCGGGUGUGUAAGCGCAGCGAUGCGUUGAGCUAACCGGUACUAAUGAACCGUGAGGCUUAACCUU